rnacentral:rRNA from 1 species
ACGAGGGUGACGAGGUGGUGCAUGGUUGUCGUCAGCUCGUGUCGUGAGAUGUUGGGUUAAGUCCCGCAACGAGCGCAACCCUCGACCUUAGUUGCCAGCAUUCAGUUGGGCACUCUAAGGUGACUGCCGGCUAAAAGUCGGAGGAAGGUGGGGAUGACGUCAAAUCAUCAUGCCCCUUAUGACCUGGGCUACACACGUGCUACAAUGGGCGGUACAAAGGGUCGCGAACCCGCGAGGGGGAGCCAAUCCCAAAAAGCCGCUCUCAGUUCGGAUUGCAGGCUGCAACUCGCCUGCAUGAAGCCGGAAUCGCUAGUAAUCGCGGAUCAGCAUGCCGCGGUGAAUACGUUCCCGGGCCUU